GGAGAAAUUAUUGUGAGACAUAAUGAUUAUCUGGGCAUUUUAAUGAACGAAUUUAUGUAAGCUCCCAACCAACCAAGGAUUCAAAAGCGAUAUGAUAAGAGGGUCCCUACAAAGUCGACCAGAAACAGAUAGGAAUAGACUAUUGUCCCAUCAGCAGUAGAAGAUGCGUCUAUGCCAAACACCAUAGACGCCGGAUUGCUGGCACUUCUGACUGGCUUUGGAAUGGGUCAUUAUCAGUCAUUGAUGUUUAUAUCAAGAAUACAACAACAAUGAGAGUUGUAGCCUAUACAAAAGGUGCAAACGGACGCUACCAAAGCCUGAUUGAUAUUACGCGACCAUUCUGUUCAUGGUUGCGGCUUGUAGAACCAUCGAUGAACGAUUUUUUGGAACCAUGCUGGCUACGUUUACAAAUGUUAUUUUAUUUUUCCGGGCUUUUAUGAAACAAAAGACUUCUUUCUACAACCGCAGAAGCAUUUCCAGCUAGCUGGAGUUCCAGUUCUACCCUAUGGAUCUUACAAAAUUGAAUUCCGCAUCAACAAUGAUAUCAGAAUCAACUGUUUUUGUGGUGUAUUGUUCAUUGAUUUGGUUCCAGAUAUAGAUGCCAUACGAAAUAGAACAAUACAACAUAACCAAUUUUUCAAUAAUUCAACAUAUCCUUUUUGAACAUCUAGAUCUUCGGGUGACAACAUAUGUGGGCUAUUAUAGUCUGAUUAAAACAAGUUGUAAAUGUGCUACUAGAUGACAAAAAAGAUACAGUAGGAUAUCCACGAGGACAUAUUGUGCAGAGUUGCGACCUUCAAUUGCAAGACCAUAUCACUUAAUGUAUUCAAUGAGACAACCCUCUGUAUCAACUGCCUAGUCAAAUUGAAUGUAUCCAUUGUUCAUUCUCUUUAUAUAAUUAAGGAGACUUGAUGCUUAAUUAGACAUAAUUAAUUAGACUUGAUGCUUGAAGAAGAUCGACAUCCUCAAACCAAAUAAUGUUUUCUAAACUGGAUUAAAUAAAUUGAUUAGCUACAAC
rnacentral:misc_RNA from 1 species